GGGGUUAUAGACGCUUGCUUUUGAAUUGUCAGCCGUAGUAAGCAAAAAAUGCCCCCAAAGAUGGCAGGUGCUAAUCUCUGGGACCAGAGAACCUGCAUCCCAGUCUACUCAGAUUCCUUCACUUCUUCCUCCAGCUCAAGGUCCAUUGUUGCCAGCAGAAUCGUGGGGACAUGUCUUGAGGUCUUCUGUCCCUUUGGCUACGAAGGACGUCGGUGUUAACUGCCCCUUCAUACGUCUGAGCUGAGACCUUUGGGACUCUUCUGUUUUCCGGCCAAACAUCCUGCCUGCAGACUUUGGCUGGCACUUGACCAUAGAGACCGUGAGCCACUCUCUCUUCCUGUACAUCACCGACGAUCUUCCACCUGCUGUGGCUUCUCCCGCUUUGAGACUUCAAUACAACAGAGGAAUCAGAAAUGUUUGAGAAGAGAAGGGGAAAGAAAUGGAGGCACUGGCCAGCCCACAGAUGAGCAGAGGAGGAAAAGAAUGAAAUGGGCAGGCUGAGUCCACUGAAAACUCACCCCAGUCUGUGGGUGUGGUGUGACCUCAGGGCUGAAUCUCCACGGCUCUUCCACCGGGACUGCGCAUGUGCAAUGACAGCAGUUGCUGUCUGCAGCAGUUCAGAAUGUGACCACCUCACUUGCUUUUCUUUGUUCUUAAAUCUCUCUUUUCCCAGCACAUUUCUCACACCAACAGAUUCCUUAGGAACAUACCGGAGAUGGGCAUAGCAUGGUGGCAGCCUUUGGAGACAGGAGAUAGGAUAGGGAGAUAGGA